GAUGAACGCUGGCGGCGUGCCUAAUACAUGCAAGUCGAGCGAACAGACGAGGAGCUUGCUCCUCUGACGUUAGCGGCGGACGGGUGAGUAACACGUGGAUAACCUACCUAUAAGACUGGGAUAACUUCGGGAAACCGGAGCUAAUACCGGAUAAUAUAUUGAACCGCAUGGUUCAAUAGUGAAAGACGGUUUUGCUGUCACUUAUAGAUGGAUCCGCGCCGCAUUAGCUAGUUGGUAAGGUAACGGCUUACCAAGGCAACGAUGCGUAGCCGACCUGAGAGGUGGAUGGGCCACACUGAAACGGAAACACGGUCCGGACUCCGAGGGGGGGAAGAGGGGGGGAAUCUUCCGAAAGGGGGGAAGCCCGAACGGGACACCGAGGGGUGGGUAAUGAUGGUCUUGGAACAAAAAAACUUUUUAAUAAGGGAAAAAAAAAGGUGUAAGUACUUAUGCGCGUCUGGAGGGUCCGAAAACAAAAAACCAGGGAAAACCAGGGC
rnacentral:rRNA from 1 species